GGAAGGUUUCAUCCUGAUUUUCACAUCACUCGUAUCGUACGUUUCUUUUAUGUACAUAUAUAUAUAUAAUAGAUGUCGGAACCCAGGAUUACAUACUUCUUCUAUACAUCGCAUUGUUAAGUGCGAGCUCGAUACAUAGGUUUGUAAAAUACAUGAGCAAUAACGGUCCCCAAAAUUUUGUUGUUGUUAUACACCAAAUAUGCUGUUUAGCCAAAUUAUUGUGCG
rnacentral:misc_RNA from 1 species